AUGGUUUGCUUAGUUUGUUUGCUUCCCCUCUUUCUCGUCCCAAUCGUCAACGUUCUUCCUCUACUCUUCGAUUUUAUCAUGGGGAAAAUCUAUGGGCUUUUUGGUUGGGAGUAUAGGAAACCAGAGAGAGCUCCUCCAGCAUGUCCUAUCAAGUCUUCAAAUAACACUAUUAGUAAAGACAAAGCACAUGCUGGACCAUCCCCGACAGAACCCGCUAAACCCGGAAGUGUAGAUGUCAAGCAGGAUUAA